CAAAACAGAACUCAACUUCAUCUGCAUACCUGUGUUACAAACUUCUUGUAUUUUCUCAACAACAGCACAAGAGAACUCAUGUUAACAUUUUAUAUGAAGAGAAACUGAAUUCAUGAAUUUGAUUUACUCUAGAUUUAUUUUUAAGCUACAUAUGAAGCAGCAUUCUGGAUACUACUAUCAAAACAUUUACCUCUCACUGCAGAGCUCCUUUCCAUCCAAUUCAUAGACUGCAUCAUCUGCAUCCCUUGGAUCCUCAAAUUCCUAUUGGAUAAGAAAACAUAUUUGAUACCCAUAUUUAAUAGAAACACAUGCAAACUGUAUUGUUGGUAGAUUACUACAGUGUUAUAAAGGCACUAGAAGCAGCUCCCCAUUAUAUAAAAAAAAUUAAGCCCUGGUACACUCCUUAAUGGUGUAGUUAUACCAGCUGCAUUUUGUAGAGUGAAAAAACCCACCCUUCUGACCCUACAGUUCAACAAACUUCAAGCCACAGUGAAGGUAGAUCUAGGUUGAUGGGACCUUUUAUUUUUUAGGGAAAUAAAUCACCUGGCAGGACAAGCCCUACAGGGGCAUAGCUGUUUACCACUGCAGUGUCUCUCAAAGAACAACAAAAAUCAUUAUGCAGUUACACAAAUCCGAACUUCCUGGACAAAAGGUUUUUAGCCCGGGCGGCACGAGGCAGGGCUGGUGCGACAGCGCUUACCACAAAUCCAAAGCCUCUUUUCAGAUCGAUGUCCCGGAUGCGCCCGUAGCCCUUGAAGAAUCGCUCCACGUCCUUCUCCCGGGCGGCGGGGUUCAGCCUCCCG